AUGGGAUUUGCCUAGACUCAGCACUGAGGUUUGCCCCGCCUAACCGGGAUUUGCCUAGACUCAGUCGAACUCUGACCCAUCAUUGGUAUGGCUGAUACAAGAGUGGCUCUGAUACCAUCUGUAACAGUCCAGCCCGCUAGUGAUAUUGUCCGCUCUGGGUCUAGGUCGUCACGGGUUUAAAACGCGUCACUGGGUUUUAAAACGCGUAACAAGCCUUAAUUAUGUUAGGA
rnacentral:lncRNA from 1 species